CUGGCGUCCGUGGUUAGGAUGACAGGUUUUCAAAAGUGGGUUUGGUGGGUGAAAAAUUUAUUGCAGUGGAGGUGGAUGUGGAGGUGGAUGUGGAGGUGGAGGUGGGUCAUGAAGGGCUGCGGACGCAGUGGAGGAGGCUCGUAGAGGAAAAAAAGGAUCACGGCGCAGGCUCGGUGGGGUAAGAGACGAGGAGAGCGGGAGGUGAGCGGGUGCCGGUGAGGUCGCAUAGGGUGAGGUGAGGAGGGGCGUUCCAAAAGGCAGCGGUGAGCGCAGCCUUGGUGGGGUCGGGGCGAGGAGGGCAGGUGGUGCGAGGACGCGAGCGAGGGCGCAGGGGGCAGAGGCAAGGCGGGCCACCUCCGCCUCUGCCUCUAUCUUCGGAGAGGCAAAAAAAAAGAACUGCAAAAAAAGUAAAGAGAGAAAGAAAGAAAUAAGAGUAUUUUAGUCAGUUUUCUAAAAAUCCUGCAUGAAGCUGCAAAAUCGAAAAAGGCGGCCCAGUUUUACCAAAAGCUUAAAACUUGUGAAUUUUUUUAAUGCAAAUUGGCCAUUUUUUAAAAAAAGUUUUUUUAAUAGUUUACAACUAUUAAAUAAGGGUGUCAAAUGGGCCGGGUUGUAAUGUAUCGAUUCCCUGGUGUAUUGUACCGAACUUUGGUCAAAUUGACCGAAGUAUGGUAAGGGGACGACUGGAGAGAUUCAUGUAUUGUCCUUAAGGUUUCGGAGUUGUUAGGAGUGACCUUUGAGUGUGUUUGAGUGUUUUCAGCAUUAUUGGGUGCGAAAACGGACUGAGAAAUGUUAAAGCUACAAAUUUUGUAUUGAGUACCGGUACUGGAUGUUGGGUAUUGGAACCCAA
rnacentral:lncRNA from 1 species